rfam:Gossypium hirsutum cultivar TM-1 chromosome 15, whole genome shotgun sequence
AAUCCAUGCAUCAGACAUUUCCUAAUUAACUCCUUAAAUUGCUCACGUGCUUCAUAUAGCGUUUCAUCUUCAAAUUGCCGAAAGGAUGUAAUAUCAUUUCUCAACUU